rnacentral:rRNA from 1 species
CCCUUAGAUGUUCUGGGCUGCACGCGUGUUACAAUCGGGAGUACAACAAGAUUGCAAAUCCUAGUGGAUGAGUGGUUCUUCGAAAUUUUCUGAAGACUGGGAUAGUUGAUUGAAAUUAUUCAACUCAAACGAGGAAUUCCUUGUAAUUGUAAUUCAUUAUAUUGUAAUGAAUACGUCCCUGCCCUUUGUACACACCGCCCGUCGCUCCUACCGAUUGAACGAUCCGGUGAAUUAUUUGGAGUAGCUCUGGAAGUUGCAGAACUUCCUAUGUCACGAAAUUUUGUAAACCUUGUCGUUUAGAGGAAGGAAAAGUCGUAACA